CAGUUGAUGACCAAGUUCUCGAGA
rnacentral:miRNA from 1 species